rnacentral:rRNA from 1 species
CGGAGGGUGCAAGCGUUAUCCGGAUUUACUGGGUUUAAAGGGAGCGCAGGCGGAUUAGUAAGUCAGUGGUGAAAGCCUUGAGCUUAACUCGAGAACUGCCAUUGAUACUAUUAGUCUUGAAUGUUGUUGAGGUUUGCGGAAUGGGUCAUGUAGCGGUGAAAUGCAUAGACAUGACCCGGAACACCUAUUGCGAAGGCAGCAGGCUAAACAAAUAUUGACGCUGAGGCUCGAAAGCGUGGGGAUCAAACAGGAUUAGAUACCCUGGUAGUCCACGCCCUAAACGAUGAUUACUCGACAUACGUGAUAUGACAAUGUGUGUCUGAGCGAAAGCAUUAAGUAAUCCACCUGGGAAGUACGACCGCAAGGUUG